rnacentral:rRNA from 1 species
AAAUUGAAGAGUUUGAUCAUGGCUCAGAUUGAACGCUGGCGGCAGGCCUAACACAUGCAAGUCGAACGGUAACAGGAAGCAGCUUGCUGCUUCGCUGACGAGUGGCGGACGGGUGAGUAAUGUCUGGGAAACUGCCUGAUGGAGGGGAUAACUACUGGAAACGGUAGCUAAUACCGCAUAACGUCGCAAGACCAAAGAGGGGGACCUUCGGGCCUCUUGCCAUCGGAUGUGCCCAGAUGGGAUUAGCUUGUUGGUGGGGUAACGGCUCACCAAGGCGACGAUCCCUAGCUGGUCUGAGAGGAUGACCAGCCACACUGGAACUGAGACACGGUCCAGACUCCUACGGGAGGCAGCAGUGGGGAAUAUUGCACAAUGGGCGCAAGCCUGAUGCAGCCAUGCCGCGUGUAUGAAGAAGGCCUUCGGGUUGUAAAGUACUUUCAGCGGGGAGGAAGGGAGUAAAGUUAAUACCUUUGCUCAUUGACGUUACCCGCAGAAGAAGCACCGGCUAACUCCGUGCCAGCAGCCGCGGUAAUACGGAGGGUGCAAGCGUUAAUCGGAAUUACUGGGCGUAAAGCGCACGCAGGCGGUUUGUUAAGUCAGAUGUGAAAUCCCCGGGCUCAACCUGGGAACUGCAUCUGAUACUGGCAAGCUUGAGUCUCGUAGAGGGGGGGUAGAAUUCCAGGUGUAGCGGUGAAAUGCGUAGAGAUCUGGAGGAAUACCGGUGGCGAAGGCGGCCCCCUGGACGAAGACUGACGCUCAGGUGCGAAAGCGUGGGGAGCAAACAGGAUUAGAUACCCUGGUAGUCCACGCCGUAAACGAUGUCGACUUGGAGGUUGUGCCCUUGAGGCGUGGCUUCCGGAGCUAACGCGUUAAGUCGACCGCCUGGGGAGUACGGCCGCAAGGUUAAAACUCAAAUGAAUUGACGGGGGCCCGCACAAGCGGUGGAGCAUGUGGUUUAAUUCGAUGCAACGCGAAGAACCUUACCUGGUCUUGACAUCCACGGAAGUUUUCAGAGAUGAGAAUGUGCCUUCGGGAACCGUGAGACAGGUGCUGCAUGGCUGUCGUCAGCUCGUGUUGUGAAAUGUUGGGUUAAGUCCCGCAACGAGCGCAACCCUUAUCCUUUGUUGCCAGCGGUCCGGCCGGGAACUCAAAGGAGACUGCCAGUGAUAAACUGGAGGAAGGUGGGGAUGACGUCAAGUCAUCAUGGCCCUUACGACCAGGGCUACACACGUGCUACAAUGGCGCAUACAAAGAGAAGCGACCUCGCGAGAGCAAGCGGACCUCAUAAAGUGCGUCGUAGUCCGGAUUGGAGUCUGCAACUCGACUCCAUGAAGUCGGAAUCGCUAGUAAUCGUGGAUCAGAAUGCCACGGUGAAUACGUUCCCGGGCCUUGUACACACCGCCCGUCACACCAUGGGAGUGGGUUGCAAAAGAAGUAGGUAGCUUAACCUUCGGGAGGGCGCUUACCACUUUGUGAUUCAUGACUGGGGUGAAGUCGUAACAAGGUAACCGUAGGGGAACCUGCGGUUGGAUCACCUCCUUACCUUAAAGAAGC